rnacentral:misc_RNA from 1 species
UUAAGUUCAGCGGGUUUUCUUGCUCGAUUUCAGACCAAGUUAUCAGACAAUGAUCCAAGGAUCACUGAAAGUGUAUGUUGGUUGAGUGUAAGAUCCAGACCAUGGAAUCGCUUCUCUUCAAGAGGUAACGAAUGAGCUAACAUCUGUUGCACUUGAGAGAACCGAACCAAGAAGGCCGGUUGCAAACACAAUCAUUUUCA